CUGGUUGAUCCUGCCAGUAGUCAUAUGCUUGUCUCAAAGAUUAAGCCAUGCACGUCUAAGUUCAGGCCUCUCCGAGGCUGAAACCGCGAAUGGCUCAAUACAUCAGUUGUGGUUUAUUAGAUCGUGCGCUUUUACUUGGACAGUAACUGUGGGAAUUCUAGAGCUAAUACAUGCAGUCAGGCUUCGACUCCCGGCAACGGUGAGGAGUAGCGCUUUUAUUAGACCGAAACCAACCUGGUCGCGUCUCUGGCGCGGUCCGGUCUCUGGCUUUGCCCAGGGGUUUGGUGACUCUGAAUAACCACAGGCCGAUCGCAUGGCUUCGUGCCGGCGACGUAUCUUUCAAGUGUCUGCCUCAUCAACUGUCGACGGUAGGUUACGAGCCUACCGUGGUUUUGACGGGUAACGGGGAAUCAGGGUUCGAUUCCGGAGAGGGAGCCUGAGAAACGGCUACCACAUCCAAGGAAGGCAGCAGGCGCGCAAAUUACCCACUCCCGGCACGGGGAGGUAGUGACGAAAAAUACCGGGAAGGGACUUAUGGUCCCCGCUCCCGGAAUGAGGCAACUCCAAAUCCUUUCACGAGGAUCCAUUGGAGGGCAAGUCUGGU
rnacentral:rRNA from 1 species